GACGAACGCUGCGGCGUGCUUAACACAUGCAAGUCGAACGGGCCUGCCUGGCUUUGGUUGGGUGGGUGAGUGGCGAACGGAUGAGUAACACGUGAGUAACCUGCCCUCUUCUCUUGGAUAACUGCUUGAAAGGGCGGCUAAUACGGGAUGUUCUGGCUGCCUCGCAUGGGGUGGUUUGGAAAGAUUCGGCCUGGUUUUGGUCGUUUUGGUGGGGGAUGGGCUCGCGGCUUAUCAGCUUGUUGGUGGGGUGAUGGCCUACCAAGGCGGUGACGGGUAGCCGGCCUGAGAGGGUGGACGGUCACACUGGGACUGAGACACGGCCCAGACUCCUCGGGAGGCAGCAGUGGGGGAUUUUGCACAAUGGGCGCAAGCCUGAUGCAGCGACGCCGCGUGAGGGAUGGAGGCCUUCGGGUUGUGAACCUCUGUCGCCGGUGAUGUAGGCUCUGCUUUGUGGGUGGGGUUGACGGUAGCCGGGGUAUGAAGUGCCG
rnacentral:rRNA from 1 species